rnacentral:lncRNA from 1 species
GUUCUAUUAUGGGGAGGACAUGCGGGUUUUCUUCUGCUUCCUAAAGAGACAAAGCCCUAGCAACUGAUCAACUGGAGUGGACAGUUCUCUUGUCCCAGGGGAAUCUGGUGCCUGACAGCUGUCAUUUGAGGAUUCCAGGAGAGUUCUUGUGGAUUUCAAGUGAACUUUCAGAACCUAAAAAUUUGGGAAAUGUAGACUUCCCCAAGAGAAUAUGACUUAAGGAGCAGGAAU